CAGUAGCCGCGGUAAUACAGAGGGUGCGAGCGUUAAUCGGAUUUACUGCGCGUAAAGCGUGCGUAGGCGGCUUUUUAAGUCGGAUGUGAAAUCCCUGAGCUUAACUUAGGAAUUGCAUUCGAUACUGGGAAGCUAGAGUAUGGGAGAGGAUGGUAGAAUUCCAGGUGUAGCGGUGAAAUGCGUAGAGAUCUGGAGGAAUACCGAUGGCGAAGGCAGCCAUCUGGCCUAAUACUGACGCUGAGGUACGAAAGCAUGGGGAGCAAACAGGAUUAGAUACCCCGGUAGUCCCUGUCUCUUAUAC
rnacentral:rRNA from 1 species